rnacentral:sRNA from 1 species
GAUAAAAGAGGAUACUCUCUGCGGACC